GACGAACGCUGGCGGCGCGCCUAACACAUGCAAGUCGAACGAGCGAGAGAGAGCUUGCUUUCUCGAGCGAGUGGCGAACGGGUGAGUAACGCGUGAGGAACCUGCCUCAAAGAGGGGGACAACAGUUGGAAACGACUGUUAAUACCGCGUAAGCCCACGGCUCGGCAUCGAGCAGAGGGAAAAGGAGCAAUCCGCUUUGAGAUGGCCUCGCGUCCGAUUAGCUAGUUGGUGAGGUAAUGGCCCACCAAGGCGACGAUCGGUAGCCGGACUGAGAGGUUGAACGGCCACAUUGGGACUGAGACACGGCCCAGACUCCUACGGGAGGCAGCAGUGGGGAAUAUUGCACAAUGGGGGAAACCCUGAUGCAGCGACGCCGCGUGGAGGAAGAAGGUCUUCGGAUUGUAAACUCCUGUUGUUGAGGAAGAUAAUGACGGUACUCAACAAGAAAGUGACGGCUAACUACGUGCCAGCAGCCGCGGUAAAACGUAGGUCACAAGCGUUGUCCGGAAUUACUGGGUGUAAAGGGAGCGCAGGCGGGAAGACAAGUUGGAAGUGAAAUCCAUGGGCUCAACCCAUGAACUGCUUUCAAAACUGUUUUUCUUGAGUAGUGCAGAGGUAGGCGGAAUUCCCGGUGUAGUGGUGGAAUGCGUAGAUAUCGGGAGGAACACCAGUGGCGAAGGCGGCCUACUGGGCACCAACUGACGCUGAGGCUCGAAAGUGUGGGUAGCAAACAGGAUUAGAUACCCUGGUAGUCCACACUGUAAACGAUGAUUACUAGGUGUUGGAGGAUUGACCCCUUCAGUGCCGCAGUUAACACAAUAAGUAAUCCACCUGGGGAGUACGACCGCAAGGUUGAAACUCAAAGGAAUUGACGGGGGCCCGCACAAGCAGUGGAGUAUGUGGUUUAAUUCGACGCAACGCGAAGAACCUUACCAAGUCUUGACAUCCCUUGACGAUGCUGGAAACAGUAUUUCUCUUCGGAGCAAGGAGACAGGUGGUGCAUGGUUGUCGUCAGCUCGUGUCGUGAGAUGUUGGGUUAAGUCCCGCAACGAGCGCAACCCUUAUGGUCAGUUACUACGCAAGAGGACUCUGGCCAGACUGCCGUUGACAAAACGGAGGAAGGUGGGGAUGACGUCAAAUCAUCAUGCCCUUUAUGACUUGGGCUACACACGUACUACAAUGGCGUUAAACAAAGAGAAGCAAGACCGCGAGGUGGAGCAAAACUCAGAAACAACGUCCCAGUUCGGACUGCAGGCUGCAACUCGCCUGCACGAAGUCGGAAUUGCUAGUAAUCGCAGAUCAGCAUGCUGCGGUGAAUACGUUCCCGGGCCU
rnacentral:rRNA from 1 species